CCGGCUAACUACGUGCCAGCAGCCGCGGUAAUACGUAGGUCCCGAGCGUUGUCCGGAAUUAUUGGGCGUAAAGGGCUCGUAGGCGGUUGAUCGCGUCGGAAGUGGAAACUUGAUGCUUAACGUUGAGCGUGCUUUCGAUACGGGUUGACUUGAGGAAGGUAGGGGAGAAUGGAAUUCCUGGUGGAGCGGUGGAAUGCGCAGAUAUCAGGAGGAACACCAGUGGCGAAGGCGGUUCUCUGGGCCUUUCCUGACGCUGAGGAGCGAAAGCGUGGGGAGCGAACAGGAUUAGAUACCCUGGUAGUCCACGCUGUAAACGAUGUCGAUUUGGAGGUUGUGCCCUUGAGGCGUGGCUUCCGGAGCUAACGCGUUAAAUCGACCGCCUCGGGAGUACGG
rnacentral:rRNA from 1 species